rnacentral:ncRNA from 1 species
UACAGAACGAUGAUGAGGGAAAGUAAAUUUCGAAUAGCUUAUUCAGAGAGAAUCACCUAGGCUGAGAGUGAUUUUAAGCGUCGAUGUUGAAGUGCUCCUCUGAGUCCGUUAUGGAAUAAGAAAGUACAUAACGGCGGCAGGCUCUCCCGUUAUGAGAGUAAGAGUUGGGAGAGUUCUCCAAACAGAGUGGGACCGCGCAAAAAGCGUCUCUGUG